rnacentral:rRNA from 1 species
GCCAGACUCCUACGGGAGGCAGCAGUGGGGAAUAUUGCACAAUGGGGGAAACCCUGAUGCAGCGACGCCGCGUGAGUGAAGAAGUAUUUCGGUAUGUAAAGCUCUAUCGGCAGGAACGAGACAAGACGGUACCUGACUAAGAAGCCCCGGCUAACUACGUGCCAGCAGCCGCGGUAAUACGUAGGGGGCAAGCGUUAUCCGGAAUCACUGGGUGUAAAGGGAGCGUAGACGGCUGUGCAAGCCUGAAGUGAAAGGCGGGGGCCCAACCCCUGGACUGCUUUGGGAACUGUACGGCUGGAGUGCAGGAGAGGUAAGUGGAAUUCCUAGUGUAGCGGUGAAAUGCGUAGAUAUUAGGAGGAACACCAGUGGCGAAGGCGGCUUACUGGACUGAAACUGACGUUGAGGCUCGAAAGCGUGGGGAGCAAACAGGAUUAGAUACCCCGGUAA